GGCUGCAGAAUUUAUAACUGUACAAAGGUAGCAUAAUAAUUUGUUUUUUAAUUAAAAACUAGUAUGAAUGAUUAAAUGAAAUAUAAACUGUUUCAAUUAAAUAAAAAUUUAAAUUUUUAUUUAAGUUAAAAAACUUAAAUAUUUUUAAAAGACGACAAGACCCUAUAGAAUUUUAUUUACUAUUUAAAUAUAAAAUUUAAUUAAUUUAUUUAAAUUUAUAUACUAAAUUUAAUUGGGGUAAUUUAAAAAUUAUAAAAAUUUUUUUUAUAUAAAACAUUAAUUAAUGAUUAUAAAAUCUUAAAUUUUAAAUUAUAAAAAUUAAUUACCUUAGGGAUAACAGCAUAAUUUUUUUUAAAAGACCUUAUU
rnacentral:rRNA from 1 species